AAUUUUUCUGAUUAAGAAUUUGGAACUAGAGGUUGACCUUAAGGAUAAAGUAUCACAUUUUUCUUCAAUUUGAAGAUAAAGAAAUGAAAGCCCAGAGAGGUUAAGUUUGCAGAGCAGGAUACUAGCAGAGCCAGAGCAGAACCCAGGGAUUUGAAUGCUCUGAGGUUUGUUCACACACAAGUCACCAGGGGCGAUCAGUAUAACCAUAAGCCAGAAAGACCAUGAGUUGGUCUGAAAAAUCACACUUGUCACCUCACCUAAUUCAGGGCCAGAUGUAGAAGAAUAAGAAGAAUGUACCUGAAUCUGCUUAGGGGUCUAGUUAUUUCUAUAAAUGGGUAUAUAGAGAGUUCACUUGAAUUCUAAUGGAUGACAUUUCCUCUUGACUCUAGGGAAAGCUGUAACUGUCUUAUGAUCCCACGAUAUGGACUCUAGGACUAUGCUUUUGUGACUUUCAAAUCCAGCAGUUGUUUAUAGUUUGUGUUAUAAGAUCUCCUGCCAAUUAUUAAAGCAUUCCUCCCUCUGGAACUAAGACCUCUAGGCGAGCAGAACAUAAUGUCGCGGUACCAGGAAGCAAAAAUUUUGCUGGUGGAUCACUAAGGGUGAUGGCUCUCUGCAAGCUGAGAAGCAAGGAAGCCAGUCUGAGU